GAGCAUGCUGGCAAUAGUAAAGUCCUACGAGAAAGUAAACGUCUGGUUGUCUGCUGGCUGCAGCAAUGCGCUCAGAAAGGAAGUGUGGCUUUGAUUCGCUUCUCCAACAAUGCCAAGAUGUGAAAGUAAUGGGCAACGCGAGUGAAACAAGCGAGAAAUCGGUGGGAUGGGCCAACCACACGUUCAGACCCGUCUAGUGCGUAUUCUCAGCCGGAAUGUUUCGAAACCGAGGAUUACGUUAGUAGGAGGCUUUGGGCUUUACCCCAAGACAAAGCCAUUGCAACGUGACAAUGUGAGAAAGUCAACAAAUAGAGAAGAGGAGAAAAGGCUGAAAGAAAGAAUAAGAAAUGGAGCAGCGUGAAAGUAAGUUUGAACCGAAGAGAUGAGCUUCUCUUGAUGUUGAUGUGGAUUACGUCGACAAUGCUGAAGAAUCUGAUCAUUGUCCUAGUGUUAGUCCUGGACUCCAGUACGUAGCAUUCGCAGAUUGUUGUUGGCUGCUUUGUAUAAAAUGGAAAUUGCUUGAGGUCACAAUUUAAACGUCAGAAGGCUAUGAGACAUUAUAGAGUAUCUCAAGUAAAAGAAAGCCAUCAAUAAUUAUAUGGUUGUGAGAGUUGAUUGAAACUUCUGAAGAUUGUAAUCAAUUAUCAACAAUCCUCCCACCCAUCCUUUUACAGCAGUUUCCAACAUCCUUGUAAAUUAGAGUCGGUCUAAGUAAUUAAUUAAGAGAGAUUUCAUAAUCUUGUUUGCUCUGACCAUCAGUAAUUGACUAAUUCUCAAAUAUUCGUUUGUUUAAAAUGAAAAGGGUGAGAAGAAGCCAGUUAGAUCUGGAUUUCUGAUAUCAAUUCAUGAUUCAAUUAAUUAGUGAG